GACGAACCGAGCGAACGUUGUUCGGAAUCACUGGCUUAAAGGGCUCGUAGGCGGCCAACUAAGUCGGACGUGAAAUCCCUCGGCUUAACCGGGGAACUGCGUCCGAUACUGGAUGGCUUGAGUUCGGGAGAGGGAUGCGGAAGUUCCAGGUGUACGGUGAAUGCGUAGAUAUCUGGAGGAACACCGGUGGCGAAGGCGGCAUCCUGGACCAACACGUGACACUGAGGAGCGAAAGCAGGGGAGCAAACGGG
rnacentral:rRNA from 1 species